rnacentral:lncRNA from 1 species
GGAGCAGCUCGGGACAGUGGAGGAGUCGGACCGCCCUAGCGGGAAGGCUUUCUCAUCUACCAGUGCCGAGCAAAAUUCUGUAAAAAGAGUGAUCCAGAAGAGGGCAACAUUCACAGCCAUUCUGAGACCUAGGACAAGCAAAUGCUUUCACACUGACAGAAGAUGCUGCGAUGCUUUGAGAGCAGAGGACAGAACAAAAUAAAAGCAGCUGAAGUUAGAAGACAGAAAGGGGGAUUAGUGAGCAGAUGUGAGAGAAGGAGAUGAAACACUUCCUGCUGGAGCUGUAGCAGGUGGCCUGAACAUGAGAUAUGUCUCCGUUGGCUGUACAGGGAGUGGAGGUUUGGCAUCCUGAAGCCACAGAUGGGCUGACUGCACUCACCUGAAGUUGUGGCAGAUGCGAGGUUACAGCAGCUAGGAAGUUGGGAUAGACAGGUAAGUUCACCCUAAUUACCUGAACACCUUUCUAGAGGAUCCAAGUAUGGCCUCCAAAUGCUUUCUCUGUAAAAAUCUGUGCUGCUUGUUCCCCAGCAUUCAUUUCUGCCUUUGGUGGGACUGACCUGAGACAGCAAGCGCAGGAAGUGUGAGAUUGAAUGAUCAGGUGCAGGGUCAGGGGGACAAAGGAGGGGAGCAGGGGGAGACUCCCACAAGUCUCCUUCCAGUUCCCUGCUGGAA